AAAAUAAAAUUUGAUUUUAAAAAAAUUUAAUUUUUAAACUAGGAUUAGAUACCCUAUUAUUUUAAGCUUAAUGUUGGUAGUAAGUAAAAUUUAUGAAAUCAUAAAAUUUUGGCGGUAUUUUAAGCUUGUUAGAGGAAUUUGCUCUAUAAUGGAUACAACGCCUAUAUCUUACUUAAUUUUGUAAUUAAAGUCAGUUUGUAUACCACUAUAUUUAAUUAUAUUGAAUAAUUAUAUUUAAGAUUUUUAUAUAAAUAUAUAUUAAGUCAAGGUGCAACACAUAAUUA
rnacentral:rRNA from 1 species